rnacentral:piRNA from 1 species
ACAAUUAGGGUUUACGACCUCGA